UACGUAGGGCGCAAGCGUUGUCCGGAAUUAUUGGGCGUAAAGAGCUCGUAGGCGGCCUGUUACGUCGACUGUGAAAACCCGAGGCUCAACCUCGGGCCUGCAGUCGAUACGGGCAGGCUAGAGUUCGGUAGGGGAGACUGGAAUUCCUGGUGUAGCGGUGAAAUGCGCAGAUAUCAGGAGGAACACCGGUGGCGAAGGCGGGUCUCUGGGCCGAAACUGACGCUGAGGAGCGAAAGCGUGGGGAGCAAACAGG
rnacentral:rRNA from 1 species